rnacentral:tRNA from 1 species
GCACCCAUAGCUCAGCUGGAUAGAGCGCUGCCCUCCGAAGGCACAGGCCAUAGGUUCGAAUCCUAUUGGGUGCACCA